AAUUAACCACAACAUCAGGCUGCCCAAAAUUUUGUGAGAUGUCAUCAAAGCCAUUGCCGGUUCGUAAAUCUACAUGAAAGGGUAGGGCAUGAGGAAUGGCUUCCAGUAGGCGCUCAGGUGGGGGAUUGGUGUGGUAGGUAAAGGCUAACGAGAGAGCAUAUGGAAGAGUAUUUUGGGUUGCCGUGAAUUCCUGCAGAAGAUGCUGACCCAAGUAACCUGUGCCACCAACUAUCAAUAUCUUCUUGCUACUCAUUUUCAAUUUCUGUGAGAUCUCUUAGCUUCUCCACUGAUUUCUACAAUCGUAAUUCGUAUCUUGGAAAAGCAAUGCAGUUUUUAUGGGGCCAAGGAGUUUGCUGUGCCUACUGAUGAGAGUCACA
rnacentral:misc_RNA from 1 species